rnacentral:rRNA from 1 species
UACGGAAGGCAGCAGUGGGGAAUAUUGCACAAUGGGCGAAAGCCUGAUGCAGCUAUGCCGCGUGUAUGAAGAAGGCCUUAGGGUUGUAAAGUACUUUCAUCGGGGAGGAAAAACAAAACUAAUAAUUUUAUUUCUUGACGUUACCCGAAAAAGAAGCACCGGCUAACUCCGUGCCAGCAGCCGCGGUAAUACGGAGGGUGCUAGCGUUAAUCAGAAUUACUGGGCGUAAAGAGCACGUAGGUGGUUUUUUUAAAGUCAGAUGUGAAAUCCCUGGGCUUAACCUAGGAACUGCAUUUUGAAACUGAAAUACUAGAGUAUCGUAGAGGGAGGUAGAAUUCUAGGUGUAGCGGUGAAAUGCGUAGAUAUCUGGAGGAAUACCUGUGGCGAAAGCGGCCUCCUAAACGAAUACUGACACUGAGGGUGCGAAAAGCGUGGGGAGCAAAACAGGGAUUAGAUACC